AGUGUUGCGAUUGCAACUCUUCGACCUAUCCAGAUGUCGGGUACCAUUGCUAGAUGGUCACUUCGAUUAGUACAGGAAUUGGUUCCUGUGCUACCAGCUUAGGUUCGAACCUGCGGGGUCACACACAUUAGAAGUUCCUAUCUGAUCUGAUGGCUGAUGUAGAAUCCUACAUAUUUGGGACUCAGUGAUCGAGAAUCAGGAUUCUCU
rnacentral:lncRNA from 1 species